UGUUGGUGUAUAAUAGAUUGAAAUGUAGACGUUUUCAGGUGGUGCAAAUUUGGCGCAAUUGCGCCAAAUUUACCAUUUUAGCGCAAGGCCCUUGAUAAAUUGGGCUGAAAGGUCACAAUUGAUCCAAGGUGGACAAGAGUGGAAGUUGCCUUGCAAAACGGUCUAUCCUGCAUCAAGGUAUGUUGGUCUAUUCAGUGAUACAUGUCUGUUGUUCCCAAGGCAUUUUCUUUAUAUUAAGGUUGUUGUUUCUGCAUUUUCCUUUAACAUUUAGAUAAUGUCCCAGGAGAUUGCAGAGGAUUUAUCCUUCGCAGGAGAUACUAGUGCACCUGGUCCCUCUAAUGUGUGUGUUUAUAAUACUCGUCGUUUAGGGUAUAGCAAGCAUAAAAACUUUUCCCAGCGCGAAAUGUUGGUUUUGGUUGAAGAGGUUGUUUUGCAAUUUGACGACCUGUUUGUAAAUAAGUCACAAACGACUCUUGGUUUUCGGAAUAAUCUGUGGAAGGAAGUUCUCGUUUGUGUUAAUGCAGUUGGAGUGGAUAAGAGGAAUGUGGGGCAAAUAAAAAAAAAAUGGAAUGACUUGCGAAGCCAAGUUAAAAAAAAAAUGGGUAUUUUAACCAAGCAAAGGCGAGGAACUUCUGUUGUUCCUCAUGUUAACAUACAAUUUAGCACCAUGAAGGAACUGGUCAGAAAAACUUUUGCCACUGAACAAAUAGAAGGGGUUGCUGAUCUGGAUGUGAUGGCUUUAGCACACCAGAGGCAUGACAAUACUUCACCGAUAGCACCACCAGUUGAGGAGCCCGAAAGACCAGCUGAUCAACCACCAACUGCGGACAUAGCACAGGAGACAAUUCCCCAAGAAAUUGAGACUGGGUCAAUUGAGGAAGAUAUCAACAAUGACAUAGGGUUCACUCCAGCUCAAACUCGGUUCUUAAAUGAUUAUACUGAGCGAAACCAGGCAAAUCUUAAGAAAAAGAACUGAGUGCCACACGCUCUCUGAACACUCUUGGCUGACGACGUUUUGUGAUUAAGGACUGAGGUUGUGUUUCCUCAUUCUGCCACAUCAUCAUUAUGGGUUCGGUGUUUACCAAAACCGAAAAGCUGAUUGUCAACUCAGAGAAG